rnacentral:rRNA from 1 species
UACGUAGGGUGCGAGCGUUAAUCGGAAUUACUGGGCGUAAAGCGUGCGCAGGCGGUUAUGCAAGACAGAUGUGAAAUCCCCGGGCUCAACCUGGGAACUGCAUUUGUGACUGCAUAGCUAGAGUACGGUAGAGGGGGAUGGAAUUCCGCGUGUAGCAGUGAAAUGCGUAGAGAUGUGGAGGAAUACCGAUGGCGAAGGCAGCCCCCUGGGAUAACACUGACGCUCAUGCACGAAAGCGUGGGGAGCAAACAGG